GACGAACGCUGGCGGCGUGCUUAACACAUGCAGGUCGAACGGUAAGGCCCUUCGGGGUACACGAGUGGCGAACGGGUGAGUAACACGUGGGUGAUCUGCCCUGCACUUCGGGAUAAGCCUGGGAAACUGGGUCUAAUACCGGAUAGGACUCCGGACUGCAUGGUCUGGGGUGGAAAGCUUUUGCGGUGUGGGAUGGGCCCGCGGCCUAUCAGCUUGUUGGUGGGGUGACGGCCUACCAAGGCGACGACGGGUAGCCGGCCUGAGAGGGUGACCGGCCACACUGGGACUGAGAUACGGCCCAGACUCCUACGGGAGGCAGCAGUGGGGAAUAUUGCACAAUGGGCGCAAGCCUGAUGCAGCGACGCCGCGUGAGGGAUGACGGCCUUCGGGUUGUAAACCUCUUUCAGCAUCGACGAAGCGAAAGUGACGGUAGGUGCAGAAGAAGGACCGGCCAACUACGUGCCAGCAGCCGCCGUAA
rnacentral:rRNA from 1 species